AGAAACUUGUUACUUCACCGAUCUUGCGCUGGGGCGGGGUUCAGUCACGUGCUGCUGGCGGGGGGAAGUCCUCGUCGUGAUCUUUACUAUCAAGGCGCAUGCGUGCAGCGUGUCCUUCUCACUCGCACGCGGCUGUCUGCUGUACGUGCGCGCGCUUUCAAUUGUGUCGCGGCAACCGCCGCUCUUCUUCUCCCGAGGUGUAGAAAAGGAAGGGGGCGGGGCUGAAAGGAGCGUUGUACGCCUGCGCCGAGGGGGAAGGAAAGGAAACAGGGGGACCUGCCCCACGAGGAGCUAUUUCGAUCCCCCAAAGGGGCACUAAAGGAAUCAUGGUAAAAUUUCUUGGCUCCCUGGCACCUGGGAUUUGUCAAGCCCCGGGAUAAUGACCUGGCCACCCAGUGAGCUUCACAGCUGAACAGAGACUUGAACCCAGAGCUUCCAGAAUGCAGGAGGAAUCUUAUGACUACUUCAGGAGUCACAAAAGCCAACAUGGCACAGUGGAAAGUGGUACAGGAAUUGUACUGUUUCUUUUCACAACUAGGACAUGACAUUUUAAAAUGUGCUCUUUGUGCUACCAUUUCAAAACUUGUUAGGCAAUGGAAAACAUUUUACUUGUUCUUUAAGUGCAAUAGGAUUUUCCUAUCUAAUCCCAUCUAUCUGUUUUUAUGUCUGUUGGGAUUAAAAAAAUGUUGCCCUAAUAAAUGUGUUCCAGUUUUCUUGUAGUUUGUUUUCAAGUUGUCCAAUUUCAUAUGUAAUUGAAUCCAAUAAAG